UACAGAGGGGGCAAGCGUUGUUCGGAAUUACUGGGCGUAAAGGGCGCGUAGGCGGCCUGUUAAGUCGAACGUGAAAUCCCUGGGCUCAACCCAGGAACUGCGUCCGAUACUGGCAGGCUUGAAUUCGGGAGAGGGAUGCGGAAUUCCAGGUGUAGCGGUGAAAUGCGUAGAUAUCUGGAGGAACACCGGUGACGAAGGCGGCAUCCUGGACCGAUAUUGACGCUGAGGCGCGAAAGCCAGGGGAGCAAACGGG
rnacentral:rRNA from 1 species